rnacentral:rRNA from 1 species
UACCUGCAGCUCAAGUGGUGACCGCUAUUAUUGGGCCUAAAACGUCCGUAGCCGGCUGAGUAAAUGCCUGGGUAAAUCGUGUCGCUUAACGAUACGAAUUCCGGGUAGACUGCUUAGCUUGAGACCGGGAGAAGCUAGAGGUACUCCUGGGGUAGAGGUGAAAUUCUGUAAUCCUGGGGGGACCACCAGUGGCGAAAGCGUCUAGCUAGAACGGGUCUGACGGUGAGGGACGAAACCCUGGGGCGCGAACCGGAUUAGAUACCCGGGUAGUCCAGGGCGCAAACGCUGCUUGCUUGAUGUUAGCUGGGCUCCGAGCUCGGCUAGUGUCGGAGAGAAGUUGUUAAGCAAGCUGCCUGGGAAUACGAUCGCAAGAUUAGAAACUUAAAGGAAUUGGUGGGGAGCACAGCAACGGGUGGAGCGUGCGGUUU